rnacentral:lncRNA from 10 species
UGCAUGAAUAAUUUGAGACUCAGUCCAGUUUAAUAAUUCAAUUCAACAGCAUUGCACACUGUGAAUCAGAUCUUGAAGAUACACAGAUGGGCAAAGAGAAGUUCCAGCUUAUGAGGGACAUGCUAUUCAGAAUGGCAGAUGAAACCAUGAACAAACAAUAACAACUUGAUUGAUUUCAGAGGAAGUGAUUGGGGUGUACCAUUUCAAAUACAGUGUGGAUGCAGUACAAUUCUUGGCUCUAGACUUGUUAAUUGGCUUUUCCUCAAGCUGAUAGGUUGUUUUUUUAACCACUAAUAGAGAAAAAUGCACAGAAAGGCCCCACAGACACCCUACCCACUGUGGCUCACAAACUUAUGCCCCUUGCUUUUCCACAGUGCCCAGCUUUCCAACACCUGUGCUCUGCUGGGAAGGAGGGGCAAAAAGAAGGAGGAGCUGGACAUGAAUGCUAGGAAACCCGAGCAGGUGCUGGCCAGCUGAAUGGAGACUGAAAGCUGAAUCGUUUCUUCUGCGGAGGCAAGAAUUGAGUUUGCUUCAGACCUGGACAGAACCACUGCCGCUAACAUAUUUCGGUGCCCUGUGACUCGGAAAUGUUCCACCGGCUGCAGUUUAGGCUAACCCUGCUUAUUCCUGUAAACCAACAAGGGACCUCUGCAGUUCAGAAGAAACAAGAGGGAUCGGCCAUCAAGCUCCAGAUGAUCCUCAGUGAGGGAUACUGUCCUCUCAAUAUUCAAGAGUCACCCUUCUACAGAAGAUCCCUAGACUUCCCAUCAGUGGGACAUGACAGAGGUAAAAUUCUGCCCCUGUCUAUCUUGGACCUGUCUGGAUACUGCUUUCACCAACCCAUAGAGCCAACCCCACCCUGACAACUAGCAAGAGGCCAAGACCCACAGAACAACCACCACUGCCCUUCUAUCAGCAGGAAGCAGAAGAGUGACCUUCACCCAUUUUCCCCAAAAAUUGGGGUCUUGGACUCUUGAGGGGGUGAUGUUACAGUAGAUAGUUAGUCAUGGCAUAAACAAGGCAGGAGAGGGCUCCCCCUAACACACAUCAGGAGUGUCAGAUGACUGCCAGGGGAUGGUCUGGGUGUUGUUAACUGUCUCUCUAAAGUAACAAUUGGUCACAGCCAAUGCCAGAGAAAGGCCAUAUCCUAAUAGACAGAAAACACCUGAACUGGUGAUCAG